AGUAUAAAACUUAAUUUGAUAAACCAAAUUCUAUAUCCUUUGCUCACAUCUGCAAGAAGCAUCAUUUUUUUUUUUUUUUUUUUUAAGUAGGAGCAAGAUCAAGUAACUUUUCACAAAGGUAACUGUUAUUUUGGAGAUAGCAAUUGUCACCACCAGUGGGAUACUAGAGGGGGUCUAUUCUUAUGAAUUGUAAAACUAGAACCAAUAUUGUUUUUAUCUACAAGACAGCUGUUGCCUUGAGGCCAAGUUGUCAAUUCUAGUUUUGUGAAAGAUGUUUUUCAUGUAAUGUGUUUUUUUUUCUUCUUAAAGAUAUUUUUUAAAUGAAAGAUUUUGGUUGGCAGAAGAUUAUUUUUAUCCAUAGUUGUAUGAAAAAGUAUUAGGUGAAAUUAGCAUUGUGUGACCAUAAAAGAUCUAUUGUGGAUAACUUGAAAACUAAGAUAAAAGAAUUUAGCCAAUCUGAAAAUUUCCAUUGGGAAAAACAAAACAAAACAGAACAAAUUUAAGUAAUAUCAAAUUGCUUGCUGUCUUGGGGAAGGGAGGAAAGGAGAAAAAUUUGGAAUGCAAAUUUUCACAAAAAUGAAUGUUGAAAACAUAUAUUUGAAAAAAUUGAAUAUUGUUAAAAAAAUAAAAGGAAAGAUAAAUAUAGAGUGGACAGUGAUGUCAAUAAGAUGAUGAAAGUUGAUGAUGACUUAAAACUGAACAAAGUAAUGCAAGGGCAAAUAAUGAGAUUUAGGGCAAAAGUGCUGGCCAGGAAGCAAAAAAAAAAAAAAAAAAAAAAAAACAACAAAAACAAAAGUAAAUACAGCUACUUAGAAAAGAAUAAAAAUUAAUUAUCUUAUCUAUACAGAUUAUUUUUGAAAAAGAAGCAGAAAAACUAACACAUGAAGUUUAAAAAAAAAAAAAAGAGGAACCAUUAAGAGAUUUUGAGUUGUGAGAAAUGCUGAAAAGUUGGGUUUUCUCAGCAUUGCAAAUUUUGAGGUAGUGUGGGAUAGUAGAUACUAUUUGAUCAAGAGAAUGUGAGAGAUUAAGGAAGGUUAAGAUUCACAGAACAAUUAAGUUAUCAAUAGAAGCCUUGAGCAGACAAGGAAUUGGGGGUCUAGGAAGGCACAGGUGGAUUCAGCCAAUCAGAAAGAAUCUUGUGACUUUGAGAAAGCUACAAACUUGAGAUAAUAGCAGAUCCAGCCCAAAUUAGUUGGGAGGAUGAGUGAUGGGACUU
rnacentral:lncRNA from 1 species